rnacentral:rRNA from 1 species
AUUGAACGCUGGCGGCAGGCCUAACCCAUGCAAGUCGAACGAGUGGCGGACGGGUGAGUAAUGUCUGGGAAACUGCCCGAUGGCGGGGGAUAACUACUGGAAACGGUAGCUAAUACCGCAUACCAUCGGAUGUGCCCAGAUGGGAUUAGCUUGUAGGUGAGGUAACGGCUCACAUAGGCGACGAUCGCUAGCUGGUCUGAGAGGAUGACCAGCGCCACUGGAACUGUGACACGGUCAAGGCGCGUACGGGAGGCAGCAGUGGGGAAUAUUGCACAAUGGGCGCAAGCCUGAUGGAGCCAUGGCGCGUGUAGGAAGCAGGUCUUCUGGUUGUAAAGUACUUGCAGCGGGGAGGCUUUACCCGCAGAAGAAGCACAGGCUAACUCCGUGCCAGCAGCCGCGGUAAUUC